rnacentral:rRNA from 1 species
AGGGAAUCUUCCGCAAUGGACGAAAGUCUGACGGAGCAACGCCGCGUGAGUGAUGAAGGCCUUCGGGUCGUAAAACUCUGUUGUUAGGGAAGAACAAGUAUCGGAGUAACUGACGGUACCUUGACGGUACCUAACCAGAAAGCCACGGCUAACUACGUGCCAGCAGCCGCGGUAAUACGUAGGUGGCAAGCGUUGUCCGGAAUUAUUGGGCGUAAAGCGCGCGCAGGCGGCUUCUUAAGUCUGAUGUGAAAGCCCACGGCUCAACCGUGGAGGGUCAUUGGAAACUGGGGGACUUGAGUGCAGAAGAGGAAAGCGGAAUUCCACGUGUAGCGGUGAAAUGCGUAGAGAUGUGGAGGAACACCAGUGGCGAAGGCGGCUUUCUGGUCUGUAACUGACGCUGAGGCGCGAAAGCGUGGGGAGCAAAC